rnacentral:rRNA from 1 species
GACGAAGGAUGCAAGCGUUAUCCGGAUUCAUUGGGUUUAAAGGGAGCGUAGGCGGCUAUAUAAGUCAGUGGUGAAAUCUAUGGGCUUAACCCAUAAAUGGCCAUUGAUACUGUAUAGCUUGAGUACAGAUGCCGUUGGCGGAAUAUGACAUGUAGUGGUGAAAUACAUAGAGAUGUCAUAGAACACCGAUUGCGAAGGCAGCUAACGAAACUGUAACUGACGCUGAGGCUCGAAAGUGUGGGGAUCAAACAGG